UACGAAGGGGACUAGCGUUGUUCGGAAUUACUGGGCGUAAAGCGCACGUAGGCGGAUUUGUAAGUCAGGGGUGAAAUCCCGGGGCUCAACCUCGGAACUGCCUUUGAUACUGCAAAUCUCGAGUCCGAUAGAGGUGGGUGGAAUUCCUAGUGUAGAGGUGAAAUUCGUAGAUAUUAGGAAGAACACCCGUAGCGAAGGCGGCACUCUGGGCCGGAACUGACGCUGAGGAGCGAAAGCGUGGGGAGCGAACAGG
rnacentral:rRNA from 1 species